ACAUGCAGUCGAGCGAAUGGAUUAAGAGCUUGCUCUUAUGAAGUUAGCGGCGGACGGGUGAGUAACACGUGGGUAACCUGCCCAUAAGACUGGGAUAACUCCGGGAAACCGGGGCUAAUACCGGAUAAUAUUUUGAACCGCAUGGUUCGAAAUUGAAAGGCGGCUUCGGCUGUCACUUAUGGAUGGACCCGCGUCGCAUUAGCUAGUUGGUGAGGUAACGGCUCACCAAGGCAACGAUGCGUAGCCGACCUGAGAGGGUGAUCGGCCACACUGGGACUGAGACACGGCCCAGACUCCUACGGGAGGCAGCAGUAGGGAAUCUUCCGCAAUGGACGAAAGUCUGACGGAGCAACGCCGCGUGAGUGAUGAAGGCUUUCGGGUCGUAAAACUCUGUUGUUAGGGAAGAACAAGUGCUAGUUGAAUAAGCUGGCACCUUGACGGUACCUAACCAGAAAGCCACGGCUAACUACGUGCCAGCAGCCGCGGUAAUACGUAGGUGGCAAGCGUUAUCCGGAAUUAUUGGGCGUAAAGCGCGCGCAGGUGGUUUCUUAAGUCUGAUGUGAAAGCCCACGGCUCAACCGUGGAGGGUCAUUGGAAACUGGGAGACUUGAGUGCAGAAGAGGAAAGUGGAAUUCCAUGUGUAGCGGUGAAAUGCGUAGAGAUAUGGAGGAACACCAGUGGCGAAGGCGACUUUCUGGUCUGUAACUGACACUGAGGCGCGAAAGCGU
rnacentral:rRNA from 1 species